rnacentral:rRNA from 1 species
AUUGAACGCUGGCGGCAGGCCUAACACAUGCAAGUCGAACGAGUGGCGGACGGGUGAGUAAGGUCUGGGAAACUGCCUGAUGGAGGGGGAUAACUACUGGAAACGGUAGCUAAUACCGCAUACCAUCGGAUGUGCCCAGGUGGGAUUAGCUAGUAGGUGGGGUAAAGGCUCACCUAGGCGACGAUCCCUAGCUGGUCCGAGAGGAUGACCAGCCACACUGGAACUGAGACACGGUCCAGACUCCUACGGGAGGCAGCAGUGGGGAAUAUUGCACAAUGGGCGAAAGGCUGAUGCAGCCAUGCCGCGUGUAUGAAGAAGGCUUUCGGGUUGUAAAGCACUUUCAGCGGGGAGGCGUUACCUGCCGAAGAAGCACCGGCUAACUCCGUGCCAGCAGCCGCGGUAAUUC